CUUACAACGCUCCACAUUCGAACUUGUGAAUAUCUGUCUAUCUUUGUUAUUAUUAUGUUUUUGCAUUCAUAAAAGCUUUAAAAUACAUGUAUCAAGAAGUAUAAAAGAUAACCAUAACGAUGUUCUCCCAAACAUCAGCAUGUGUUGAUAAGGAAAAUAUUACAGCUGCUGAAGCUGUUCAAACCAAAAAUAUCUUUGAAACACCUUCACGAACACCUUUGCAUGAUGUAAAUGGUUCUACUGCUGAAAGAAGAUACUUGACUUUAAAGGGCUCUUUCACCCCAUGCAGCAAGGCACAAACCCCUAGCAUAGCACCAGGGAAAACUGCUAAAACUCCAGUAAGAUCCCUA